rnacentral:misc_RNA from 1 species
AAGUAAAAGCCAAUUCAGCUGAAUCAUCUGAACUUAAAAUUUAAUAAAUAAAUCAGAAUUUGUACAAUAAAUUCUGCAGUUCUUCAAUCAUGAAGCAAUUUAGCUUAUUGCAGAAGAAGCUCAUUCUGCUUUGCUUUCUCUAAAGAGUAUGAUGCGCGCUUACAAAAAUUCUGCCUUUCCAUUACAGUACUAUUUAUCUUUACAUUUGUGCCGCAUAAAACCCAUCUUCAUGCUCUUCAUCUUCUUUGCUUUUCUGUUCAUCAUUCUCAUGAUCGGGGCUCAGUAACAACUGUUGCUCUUUUUCUGUGUUAUUGCCACUACUAAGGGAAUUACGAUCUAUUACAAUAGCAUUUCUUUUGUAGUUCCAAACGAGCAUCGAAAUAUAGUCCUGAGGUGAAACCAGACCUUGUUCCCUCAUGCAACAUCGUAGCUCCUCGAGAGUUUUUGUAUCAUCCAAUCUUAUAUAUUCGACCAGUGCCUUCUCAUGAUUUGGUCUCCAGUUACUUGGAAAAGGAGUGUAAUCAGUCUCAGGUACAAGAGACAUCCUGGUAUAUUGAAGGCCAUCAACUGACUCAACAAGGCCCAUCCUUAGCAAAUUGUGAUACUCGGGCGAUGAUCCUUUCUUUUCCUUCAAAGGACGACUCAAAUUCCGAGAACCAAUUUUAUACACUUUUGCACGAGACCGAAGCUUGUAUUUUGCAGCAUAAAGCUUUGCAAGUGAACCUCUUACUAUGUAAGAACAGAAGUUAACAACUUUCUUCCGAUUAUCAGCAUACCUAUACCACUCGACCAUUGUUGACAAAAACUUGUUCAUUUGUGCAUUGGUGUGAGCUUGAGUAGCAUGGAACAUUCUAAAGCAAGGCUGUGGGUCUGGAUCCCUGUCUCCUUUCAGAAAGUUCAACUUCCUGAAUUGCUUAAUGCAUUGUUUCAAGCUUGCUGUGACUGACAAAAGGGUACCAACGCCCUUUUCACUAAUGAUCUUCCCACCAGUGGCAGUGUACCGAAGAGUUGGAUACACAACUCUUCGGCACAAAACAUGGUCAAGAAACAUUAUACCCUUAGUUAUAUGUUCUAUAGGGAGGCUCUCAUUGUCAAGCUUGAGGAAGUAUUUCUGAUCAACGAACUCAAUCAAUUGUUUUCUCAAUGUAGCCGCAUCUGCUCUAGGCCCCCGAACACCAAUCAAAAUGUGACCCCCGUAUCUUAUAUAAUCCAUCUUUCGGGUCUUAUCUGGGCCACUUGUUGGCACAAAUUCUGGCCAAGACGUAUUUCCCUGUUCUGCUUCCCCUUCUGGACUAUUCCAUAUAACAUCACUUUUUGAAGGACGGUAGAGCUCCUUAAUCUUACCUUCCAUCCAUCGGUCCAAUUCAUCAAGGCAGAUAUUAGCCAAAAGGGGGCUAAGAAUCCCACAAUGGCCCCAAGAAGGAACCUUCUCGGCCUCCUCGGGUGCAAACCCAAAAAAGGUCUCUAACCAAUAUGGAUCUGGUUUUGGCUCAUCCUCCGCCAAAACCCUCUUUUUUUGAUACUUCCUCUUUUUCUUCUUCUUUGGUUCUUCCACACUACUUGUAAUCACAGGUGUAGUCAAUGCUGACUUCACCAAAUCAAUCACUUUCUUAUCCCUCACAUCCCUCAUCAAAGCACUUAUCACUAACCCCACCUUCAUGCCAUCCAAAACUGUACUCAAAUCCCCUUUGAUAUACCACAGAUAUCCAGCAAAACUCCUUCUAAUCACCCUCAAUGCUGUAUGUGCACUCCUACCAGGCCUAAAUGCAUAAGAAUUUUGUGAAAAACGUGCUUCAUAUAUAGGCUCCAAUAUCAUAAACAGCACCUCCUGAACAAUCUUAUCCUGAAAUGGAGCAGGUUGUGUAGUUGUCAAAAUUGCCUUAAUCUUUCUCUUUGACAAAGAUUCAUAAUCUGUCUUGUCCCUUGGAGACUUGACAAAAAACUGAAGCCUCGCACCCCACUUAAAUCUAUCGUCCAGAACUGCAUUUCUAAGCACUAACAAAUCCUCCAAUGCAGACCUUUGAAUUGCACUACGGGGCAUAUAUGCUCCCAUUUCAUCAGCACAAACCUUUUGAUAAGCCAAUACCCACAAUUCAAAACGUCGAAGAUAAGAGGUCAAAUUGUUUGCUAUCCUAUCAGGUUCACGGAAGUUCUCAAUCCACAUCUGGGAGCAAACUGCCACACCAUCUUCCUUCAUCAGGGUGGAUGGAUCAUCCGGAUCUGGAGCCUGUCGUUGCCUUGGGACAAAUGAGAAUAAGCGAAAUAAAGCAAAACCAUUAGCCCUGGGGUUUAAGGUAUUGGAGUGAGAGAAUAAAAAUGUAGCAGUAGUGGUGGUGGUGGUGAUAAGACUGGAAUUAGUAAGAAUCUUCUGGGUGAAAAUGGCAAUGGACCGAUGCAUUUGGAGACAGUUAAAUCAAGCAAUAGGUUUUCCAGGUCAUUAUAUACUAUAUCAUAGUACACAUUAAAGCUAGAAGGCUGGACAUAGGUUGAACUGUGAAGCUCUCGAAAUGAACAGCGAAGGACCACUCUUGGUGUCCAUUAGAGCUGCAGCAGACUUAGGGUUGUUAUAAUGAAGCUGCUUUAACACUUGCAAGUUAGGUGAUAAUGGAGUGAAACAACAGAUUGAAAUAGUUUUCUUUCUUUUCCUCCCUGUGAUGAUGCUGUUUAACUGUGAGGAGCGACAAGGUUGAGGAGUGCGGUUGGGAUUAGCGGUGAGAAUGAGAGCAGCGGCGAGCUUGAGGCCGUAGAUUCUGCUGUAGAAGCGAGCUGAGAGAGAGGUUGAUGGAGAUAAUAAGCCGGCGAUGACAGAGGGGUUGUGGUUGGGCGGCGUAAGAUGAGAGGUUGUUGCUGUGCCGACUAGACGGAAGGCUUUGUGGGUUCUGUGAAACGUAAAUGGAGGGCGGCGGAUGAAGCAAAAAACUGGGAGACGAAAAUAAGAACU